rnacentral:SRP_RNA from 1 species
GAAGAUCGAUCGCGGACGAACGUCUCGCCAACCCGGUCAGGUCCGGAAGGAAGCAGCCGUAACGAGUUUUUGUU